GUCUCUCCCCACGUCUAUGUUACUUAUUCGGAAAUCUGUGUCGGGACCAGGACCUACCUAAAGGAUAAUACAGCCCCCGUGUUACCCCGAGUUGCUUAGCAACACCCCCAAUCAGCCUAAAGAACAGCCAGGGGUUACUUCCACAGAACGGUGGUUUUCAUAUGCGCAGCUUGUUUCCAGGAUGUCGGUAAGCAACACCACAACACCACUUCUCCUUAAAAAAAUAUAAUUAAAGUUUACGGCCGACUCGAGUGUGUGUGAUCCGGCAGGAGGAGGGCAACACCCUAGAGCACGGGAUCUCCAGCAGCUCAGGAAUCAGCAUGGGAUUUUUUUGUUGUUGCAGAGCUUCCCUGAGCCCAUAAACAGGAAGAUGGUUCCAAGAUCAAACUUAAAGCUCAAUAACCAGACAAUCCUGAGGCAGCUCCCAGCAAUCCAGUUGGCUGCAAGAGCCAUCCAGUACAAAUGUUGGGCAGUAUAAUGGCUUUCAAGUAUCAUUUGAUCACUGGCCAGAAGAAUACAUGUUUGCCCUUUGGACAUAGCAAUUAACGCUCUCCCACGCAGGGAAAAGGGUGUUUGCUCCUUCUGUGGUAUCAGAUGGCAUGCAUGCAAAGCUUAGGACCACAUGAAAUUCCCAGAGAAACUUAUAAGGUGGGACCUGAGGAAGGCUGGAUGCAGAAGACUCUUUUUCUUAACUACUGGCAGCUCACUCAUUGACCUCGCUAUUUGUAGCCUCCCCCGUGAGUACUGUUGUGCACACUGCUUCUCAAUGCUACCCACUAAAAAUAAGAAAAAUAGGAGCAGUUUUUCUCCUUUGAGUUCCAGCUUUACUUCCAAUUAUCGGUUCCACCCAGGGUAGGGAAUGUUUAUUUGGUGUUGGGGGAUUAUUUGUUAUAUUCUGGAAAUUUCAUGAGAAUUUUCCAUCACCUGAGCUCAGUUCUAAGGAGGGCAUGAAGCUGGAAGAGGCUCGUAACUGUCUGCUGCUCCCAUUACACAGUAUACUCACAAAAUCUCUUCUGAUUAUUUGUAGCCCACCAUCACUUUUAUUUGAAUUAUUCAUCACAGAGUGAGAACCACUAUGCAAACACAAGAGACAAGGCUCAGUGUCUUUUCAGAGAGCUCUUCUGAAAAUGCAGGGCUUAACCUGUCCAACACCCAGAACAGCCCCAUUCUUCCAUAAAAACUCACUCUAAAAACAGAACAAAAAGGUAUAAGGUGGAGUUUUCUCUAGACUGAAAUUAUUUGAAGCAAUGUUUCUAAAAAUGAUACUCUGAAAAUAAACCUUCAGCCCCUUAUAGCA